CCUGCCGAAAGGCCGGCGCCUUGGAGUGAAACGGGGGGUGGGGGGGGAUGUGCCGAGCCCACAGGGCGCCCGCCUUUACAGCCCAGCUAUUAUUCUUCGGAGGGCGAAGAGGAGGAGCUCAGCCUCCCCAGUUCGCCGAGGGUGUGUGUGUGUAUGUCUGUCUGUCUUAGGGGGUGGCAAAGCGUGUGUGUGCGGCGGUUUUUCCCCGGCGGGUGCCUUUUCCUUGCGCACCUUCUCCUGGAAGGACAGUUUUUGAAUGAGCUAAAAUACAAUACAAUACAGUACAAUACCCUUUUAUUUAAACGGAACUAUGCGGAUACCAAGAAAGAGCUCCACCCCCAUGUACCAACAAGAAGGCCCAUGGAUUCUCAACACCAGUGGAGCAGGACUGCAACCACUAGCUAUACUAAUCAGAACUUGUAGUGCUCAAAUACAGCCCAACAAGCUCCCAAUGUAAUUUGGCCUACUGAAUACUACUACUGUACUAGAAUACUUACUACAGGCUCUCUUGUCAGCUAAAUCACAGAGUUGGAAGAGACUUUCCAGUUUGUAUAAGUCAAAUUAAAUGGUCUUCAAGUAUCCUCUGAUAUGCCCCAAAAAUGUCCUGAAGAUAUACAAUGAUGAUAGAAGAAGCAAAAAUGGAAGAAUAUUCCAAAAGUACAGUAUUUCUGAAAGUUUUAUGUUAUUGGUGUUGUGUUAUUAACAGUUAACAAGGUAAAAAUAUUCAAAAACAGCAGCAAAUUUAAGUAUUUUUAAGGAGUAUGGAAUGUUAGUAUUUACCUAGAAUAUUUUUGUCAAGUGACAUUUCCCAAUAUAUUCAUUCACAACUCUUUCUUGAAGUUUAAUCAUCAGUCUGGAAACUCUUUAUCAACUGCAGUCCCCCCCCUUCACCUGCAUGUGCAACAGAGCAGCGUUUGACAUUUGCUUCCAGAAGCUUCUUCUUGGCCUUAUUCUGUUUUUCCAAAAAACUUUGAGGCUGUCAUGCUAUGCAAAGAUGACUGUAAUAACAUAAACCUUUUUACUAUUCAGUUCUGCUUGUUGUUUGGAACAAUUUGGAAGGCAUUACCUGAACACAGCCAGGGUUAGAGCCACUGUAACAUCUUGUAUACAAGACAAAGUUUUUGCACAGUUAUAGCAGUACACUAGUAGUGUCCAUUCUGCAGAAAGUUCUCUGGACGUUAACUCUCUAACACUGGAGCAGGGGAAGAGGGCGUACAUUGCUGGGUGAUUCCUUUGUGUUCUAGAAGAAGCAAUGUAUCUACAUGAUCCAAAGCCUUUCCAUUCCUCAGCCAUGGUCCCAGUAUGCGGCAGAAAUUAUGCCAGACCUGGAAUUACUUGCAGUGAGAAUGAAAGCAUUACCCCUGCUUCUUUUUUAUAUUCCACUGAACUUGCCCCACAAGGGCUUAGGAUAUUUUGACAGUUCUGAGUCCUAAACAGUCCAAACCAGGUAGGAUUGCCUUGUUGGCUGCCCAGGGAUAACAAUAUAAAUUGCUUUUCCUCUGUUGACACGCAUGACAAUAAGAUGUUUUCAGGUACUGUAUAAGAUUUAAGUGCUGGAAAUGCAAAGCCCCUUAGGCAGUCCUCCUCCAUCCAUGAGGGGAAACUAUCAAUCUCUUCUGAAUUAUUGGCAGCAUAUUAUGUGGUGUUAUAAACAGUAUACAGUAAUUCAUUUCAGUAUUAGAUUAUUAUUAGUGCUUUUUAAUGAAAUAGAAAAUAAAUUUCCAUUAUAGAAUUAAAAUACUGAUAAUAAAUUUAAUUUCAGUUAAAAUGGCUGAGGGAACCACCCUCGGUUUCAUUGGUUCAACUUUUAAUCACAUUCAGAGAAAAAAAAUAGAAUACAUGUUGCAGUUGUAUCAAAUAAAUGGAAUGAGUUUUGCCAUGUAUUAUAAUCUACAUCUCAUCAUAUACAGUUUAGUUUAAUAGCAGUUAAUUGAUUGAUUAAUCCAUAAUAAAAGUAAACAAAUAAUCUAUUUCUUGCUAAAUUGUAAUUUGGGGAAAACAUGUUAUCUAUAUUGACAUCAUGCCCCACUUGCUGAGAGGCUGUGUUCCUGCUCCCUUGGACAGGUUGAGUCCAUGGAGCACAUGUUUUUCCGCAGCCCGCAUUAUGCAGUAGCACGAAAUCAGAUUAUUACUCCAUUGAUUGAAAACAUCCCUGACUGAUCAGAGAAAGCUAGACUAGAGUAUCUCCUCUCACACAGGGAUAGUAAGACAUCAUACAAGGUAGCUGGUUUCUGUCUGGCGAUUUGCAAGUUUCAGAAAUUUCUUCAUACUUGACUCUGUUAUUGGUAUGGAGGGUUUUGAAUUGCUUGUAUACUUGUUUGUUUUAUGUCUAUGUUUGAUGUUUUUAUGUAUUGCAGAGACUAUGGAUCUGGGCUGUCCACUUCUCUGUGUGAUAGGUCUAAGGACUCUAAAUAAAGAAUUGAUUGAUUGACUGAUUGAUAUUGACGUCUUGUAUUUCACAAUUGUUAUAAGCUGCCCAGAGACUUUUGGAUAGAGUGGGCGGCAUAUAAGUUAAACAAACAAACAAACAAAUAUGUCUGUUGCAUUUUCUACAAAAGUAGUACUGUACUCUGAAAUUUUUAAAAUAUAAGUAUUAUUGUGGGUGACAGAAAAUGAAGCUCAAGGGAAAAGUGCAAGAAAAGAAAGCAGAACUUGAGGACAGGACGGCUAACAGGUCUUGGAACCAAGCAGCACAGGACUCCUUUGGCUUUUACAUCUGGCGAGUUAGAUGCAUCUCCAGAUUGCUCACAUGGCAAAAAUUAGAGCUGCACUGAGAUAAAGAAGCUAUCAGAAUUACGGCUUUAUAACCAGGACAGCAUUAGAUCUUUUCAUAAUCAAGGAAAAAUAAUCUGUUCUAUUCCUGUUUCUUCUAGCAGUCACUGACUGAAAAUCUGGUUCUGCAGAAGUUUCCAAGAGUACAGUAUCACUUUACCUAUUUUCACCUGCACCACCUUGACACUACCAACCAUUCUACAGUUAGUAGAUGAGUACUUUCAUUUUCUGCAGUAGGUCAUAUGACCCAUAAGACUAAGAUCCAGGAAACUGCAUUCAGGGACCUUUAUAUAUGUCUAGGGCUCCAUUUUGUUGGCUCCAAAUGCCAACAAAAAAAGAGUUGGCAUUUGCUGGUGCUGGGAAAAUAUGGUCCAUAAGGAGGACUUUAUAUAAUAUUCACCUAUACAUAUAUCCAAAAUAGUGUGCUCUUGUUUGCUUGUUAACAUCCUGGCCCAUAGUAUAAAGCUUCUAGCAGUCUAAAAACAAAUGAAUACAAAAACAAUUUAAAUACGAAAUAAGACAAAAUCACGAAGAGCAUAAAUACAACAGAAAACAAGAUUCUCAGCAACCUCAGAGUAAAAAAACAAGAUUUAAAGCUCAGAGACUGACCCAUCUUCAGAAGUAAGAUGUUCAUGACUGCCAUCUUCAAAUGCCUGGUGGAUGAGUUGCUGAACAGACUUCAAUGUAGAGGCUCUUGCCGUAAGGUUUAUCUGUGUUGUGGAUUGGUGACAUGUGCACCCUUCAUUGGAUACAAUCACUAAUACUGAUCAGUAUAUUUGUAAUAGCAGCUAGUAUAGAGCUGCAGUUCCAUCUCAUGCAAGAAAUUAUGAAAGAUAUAAUAAUGCUGUUAUGAUAUCCAUUACAGGACAGCAGACAUACAAUUCAUAAUUCAUAAACAUUAUAACUAGUCUUUUUCUUUGCUGAAAAAGUUAACUCCUACAGA